CCAGACUCCUACGGGAGGCAGCAGUGAGGAAUAUUGGUCAAUGGGCGGAAGCCUGAACCAGCCAAGUCGCGUGAGGGAAGAAGGCCCUGCGGGUCGCAGACCUCUUUGGACGGGGAGCAAGGCCGCCGACGUGUCGGCGGAAGGAGAGUACCCGUAGAACAAGCAUCGGCUAACUCCGUGCCAGCAGCCGCGGUAAUACGGAGGAUGCGAGCGUUAUCCGGAUUUAUUGGGUUUAAAGGGUGCGCAGGCGGCCCGGCAAGCCGGCGGUCAAAUCGCGGGGCUCAACCCCGCCCAGCCGUCGGAACUGCCGGGCUAGAGUGGGCGAGAAGUGCGCGGAAUGCGUGGUGUAGCGGUGAAAUGCUUAGAUAUCACGAAGAACCCCGAUUGCGAAGGCAGCCUGCCGCAGCGUUACUGACGCUGAAGCUCGAAAGCGCGGGUAUCGAACAGGAUUAGAUACCCCAGUAAUG
rnacentral:rRNA from 1 species